rnacentral:lncRNA from 1 species
UGGAGGGUAGGCUAAAAAAACACAAAAAGGGUUUAGAAGUGUGGCGUAAAAGAAGAAAAGAAAGGGAAACAACAGAGGGGUGAUCGGGAACUUCUGAGCUGAAUUGUAAUAUCAUAAGUUUUUUUUAAUUUCGAAAUUCUCUUUUUUUUUUCCAAUCACAAAUGCCAAACACAAAUAAGGAACUUCAAUCCACGAAAUGUUUUUCAAUUUUUUUAUUUUUAUUUUUUUACAAACUUACUCCGGGAUGACUUUGAACAUCGGUACUCCUUAAUUUAACCAGCUCUGAUACCAAAUGAUGCAAUUUUGGGUUCGUAAGUUGAGCCGAGUUGAAUUGCGUGCCCGAUCGUAAUUGAAGAAGUGUCGUUCGACUUGAAAAGCUUAGACUGGUGUAAACUAAGUAUGGGUUAAGG